rfam:Ciona savignyi cont_33904, whole genome shotgun sequence.
GUCGUCGUGGCCGAGUGGUUAAGGCGACAGACUUGAAAUCUGUUGGGCUCUGCCCGCACGGGUUCGAAUCCUGUCGGCGACG